UACGGAGGGGGCUAGCGUUGUUCGGAAUUACUGGGCGUAAAGCGCGCGUAGGCGGAUCUGCAAGUCGGGGGUGAAAUCCCGAGGCUCAACCUCGGAACUGCCUUCGAUACUGCGGGUCUCGAGUCCGGGAGAGGUGAGUGGAAUUCCUAGUGUAGAGGUGAAAUUCGUAGAUAUUAGGAAGAACACCCGUGGCGAAGGCGGCUCUCUGGGACGGUACUGACGCUGAGACGCGAAAGCGUGGGGAGCGAACAGG
rnacentral:rRNA from 1 species